rfam:Phytophthora parasitica P1569 supercont1.3233, whole genome shotgun sequence.
AACGGUGGAGCUCAACUGGAAGAGCGCAAGGCUUCGGUCUUGAAGAUGUCUGUUCAAACCGGGCCACCAUUA